rnacentral:rRNA from 1 species
GUCCACGCCCUAAACGAUGUCGACUAGGUGUUGGGGAAGGAGACUUCCUUAGUACCGCAGCUAACGCGUGAAGUCGACCGCCUGGGGAGUACGGUCGCAAGAUUAAAACUCAAAGGAAUUGACGGGGACCCGCACAAGCGGUGGAUGAUGUGGAUUAAUUCGAUGCAACGCGAAGAACCUUACCUACCCUUGACAUGUACCGAAGCCCGCUGAGAGGUGGGCGUGCCCGAAAGGGAGCGGUAACACAGGUGCUGCAUGGCUGUCGU